ensembl:lncRNA
AGAGGCGUACAGCAUCCUGAGGACGGUGCUGAAGGAUUACCUGGGAGCGGACGACCAGGGAGACAGUGACCAUAGCAACAGAGAACUCCGGGAUCAACCCUCCACAGCCUCUCUGCCAUUGGACGGAGGGUGCCCCACCUUUGCCCAGCGUGACCAAUCAGUGUCAGACACUGAGUUAGGCUCCGCCCCUGUGCUGGAGCUGUUGGACCCCUCUUGUAGAAACUACCUGACCAAACUACAGGCCCAGCUGAGCCCCCAGAAGACCGCCGUGGAACUGGCCUCCAUCAGUAGGAGGGAGCAGCUGUUGCGUGAGGCUCUGGUUGGGGGCACCCAGGGGCCUACAGUCUGCUGUUUAAGAGGU